CAGGGUUCUCUUGGAACGACUGAUUGUAAAUAGGCCUCAUCCCUGGGGUCUCCUUAUCACGUUUAUUGAGCUGAUCAAAAAUCCAGCCUUUAAGUUCUGGAACCAUGAGUUUGUUCACUGUGCUCCAGAAAUUGAGAAGUUGUUCCAGUCGGUUGCACAGUGCUGCAUGGGGCAGAAGCAGGCUCAGCAAGUCAUGGAAGGGACUGGUGCCAGUUAGAUGAGCUGCAUCCUGCGUUGUAAGAGUGCCAGCCUGGAGGUCCCGUCCCAUCAACUGACUGAAGACUCUGUAAGGCUCCUCCUGACCUUCCCAGCCCCCUUGAUUGGGUAGACACAACAGACCCUGGGUGAAAGUCUUAAGUGGGCAUGUUCCAAAGUUUGAAACAAAAUUUUUGACUUUCGGCCAAACUUCAGAAGAUGCUGUGAAUAUCAUUUGAACUAGUGUAAAUACAAGGAACAGAAACAUUUGUCUGGACUUUUGGGUUUGUGCAAAUUGUGUAAAAGGCAGGUGGGUAACUGGUGCCUGUCCAUCUUGUAAUAAAGGGGCAGCUGCUGAUGCCAAGCACUUGUCUGGGGCAGACCUCCUUGUCCUGACAUUCCCAGACUCCCAAAGAAUAUUGAAAAGCCAGUAACUUAUUUUUCUUUAUGUGAAUGGGGGACCUUUAAAUCACUAAGUUGUUUAAAGAAAAAAAAAGUGGAUGUGUUUGGAAUAUGGGAAUUCUGUGGAGUACAGGAGGGGUGAGGGAGGGGUUAAGGUUCAGUGUUGCUUUCCCCUCACCCUCAUCAAAUGCUGAUAGACAGCAAGUGAAGUGGCAGUCAGAGAAUGCCUCCUUUUUGUUGGAGAAGAAACAGGCCCUUUGGGUGAGGGUCAGCUGUUUUCAGUAAAUAAACCAGAGACCAGGCCUAUAGCUUUUUUUUUUUUUUUUUUGGACAGUUGUAAAUUUUGGAAGAUGAGGGGUAAAAUCUAGACCUUUUCCCACCCUCCCCUGUGACCACACAGUAUAAGUUUGUAAAAAAAAACCUAAAAAAAGAAAAAAAAAGAAAAAAUUUAACAAAACAAAAAACCCAAAGGACCAAUACAGCCCAUUUUGUAAGGAUUUUCAAUGUUUUGUAAAGUAUUGGUCCACGUGUUGUAUUUUGUAGCCUUUCUAGUUCUUGGGCUUUAGUUCUCCCACUCUUGUAUGUAUGCAUACUGUAGUUACACAUUAAAGUCAUGACAUGCAGCA